GCUGGGUGCAGUGGCGCGUGCCUGUAGUCCCAGCUACUCAGGAGGCGGAGGUGGGAGGAUCGCUUGAGCCCAGGAGUUCUGGGCUGUAGUGUGCUGUGCUGAUUGGGUGUCCGCACUAAGUUCGGCAUCACCAUGGUGACCUCCUGGGAGCGGGGGACCACCAGGUUGCCUAAGGAGGGGUGAACUGGCCCAGGUCGGAAACGGAGCAGGUCAAAACUCCCGUGCUCGGCCGGGUGCGGUGGCUCAAGCCUGUAAUCCCAGCACUUUGGGAGGCUGAGGCGGGUGGAUCACGAGGUCAAGAGAUCGAGACCAUCCUGGUCAACAUGGUGAAACCCCGUCUCU
rnacentral:SRP_RNA from 1 species